AUUGAACGCUGGCGGCAGGCCUAACACAUGCAAGUCGAGCGGUAGAGAGGUGCUUGCAUCUCUUGAGAGCGGCGGACGGGUGAGUAAUGCCUAGGAAUCUGCCUGGUGGUGGGGGAUAACGUUCGGAAACGGACGCUAAUACCGCAUACGUCCUACGGGAGAAAGCGGGGGAUCUUCGGACCUCGCGCCAUUAGAUGAGCCUAGGUCGGAUUAGCUAGUUGGUGAGGUAAUGGCUCACCAAGGCGACGAUCCGUAACUGGUCUGAGAGGAUGAUCAGUCACACUGGAACUGAGACACGGUCCAGACUCCUACGGGAGGCAGCAGUGGGGGAAUAUUGGACAAUGGGCGAAAGCCUGAUCCAGCAAUGCCGCGUGAGUGAUGAAGGCC
rnacentral:rRNA from 1 species